UACGGAGGGUGCAAGCGUUGUCCGGAAUCACUGGGCGUAAAGGGCGCGUAGGCGGCUUUGCAAGUUAGAGGUGAAAGCCCGGAGCUUAACUCCGGAACUGCCUUUAAAACUGCAUCGCUAGAAUCGUGGAGAGGUGAGUGGAAUUCCGAGUGUAGAGGUGAAAUUCGUAGAUAUUCGGAAGAACACCAGUGGCGAAGGCGACUCACUGGACACGUAUUGACGCUGAGGUGCGAAAGCGUGGGGAGCAAACAGG
rnacentral:rRNA from 1 species